rnacentral:rRNA from 1 species
AGCGAACGCUGGCGGCAGGCUUAACACAUGCAAGUCGAGCGGGCAUCCUUGUGGUGUCAGCGGCAGACGGGUGAGUAACGCGUGGGAACGUGCCCUUCGGUUCGGAAUAACUCAGGGAAACUUGAGCUAAUACCGGAUACGUGCGAGAGCAGAAAGGUUUAUCUGCCGAAGGAUCGGCCCGCGUCUGAUUAGCUAGUUGGUGAGGUUAUGGCUCACCAAGGCGACGAUCAGUAGCUGGUCUGAGAGGAUGAUCAGCCACACUGGGACUGAGACACGGCCCAGACUCCUACGGGAGGCAGCAGUGGGGAAUAUUGGAAGAUGGGGGCAACCCUGAUCCAGCCAUGCCGCGUGAGUGAUGACGGCCUUAGGGUUGUAAAGCUCUUUUCUCCGGGACGAUAAUGACGGUACCGGAGGAAUAAGCCCCGGCUAACUUCGUG